GUCUGUGUAUGAUGAGAAAUCUUUGAAUCAGUUAUCCCUGUCUGAGCUUUUUGGAUGAGAUGUUGAUAUCUGACACAGAC
rfam:Gossypium raimondii chromosome 9, whole genome shotgun sequence.